rnacentral:rRNA from 1 species
AUUGAACGCUGGCGGCAGGCUUAACACAUGCAAGUCGAGCGGGGUGAUGGUGCUUGCACUAUCACUUAGCGGCGGACGGGUGAGUAAUGCUUAGGAAUCUGCCUAUUAGUGGGGGACAACAACUCGAAAGGGGUGCUAAUACCGCAUACGUCCUACGGGAGAAAGCAGGGGAUCACUUGUGACCUUGCGCUAAUAGAUGAGCCUAAGUCGGAUUAGCUAGUUGGUGGGGUAAAGGCCUACCAAGGCGACGAUCUGUAGCGGGUAUGAGAGGAUGAUCCGCCACACUGGGACUGAGACACGGACCAGACUCCUACGGGAGGCAGAAGUGGGGAAUAUUGGACAAUGGGGGGAACCCUGAUCCAGCCAUGCCGCGUGUGUGAAGAAGGCCUUAUGGUUGUAAAGCACUUUAAGCGAGGAGGAGGCUCUUUUGGUUAAUACCCAAGAUGAGUGGACGUUACUCGCAGAAUAAGCACCGGCUAACUCUGUGCCAGCCGCCGCAGUAA